rnacentral:rRNA from 1 species
GAUGAACGCUGGCGGCGUGCCUAAUACAUGCAAGUCGAGCGAACAGAUAAGGAGCUUGCUCCUUUGACGUUAGCGGCGGACGGGUGAGUAACACGUGGGUAACCUACCUAUAAGACUGGGAUAACUUCGGGAAACCGGAGCUAAUACCGGAUAACAUUUGGAACCGCAUGGUUCUAAAGUGAAAGAUGGUUUUGCUAUCACUUAUAGAUGGACCCGCGCCGUAUUAGCUAGUUGGUAAGGUAACGGCUUACCAAGGCAACGAUACGUAGCCGACCUGAGAGGGUGAUCGGCCACACUGGAACUGAGACACGGUCCAGACUCCUACGGGAGGCAGCAGUAGGGAAUCUUCCGCAAUGGGCGAAAGCCUGACGGAGCAACGCCGCGUGAGUGAUGAAGGGCUUCGGCUCGUAAAACUCUGUUAUUAGGGAAGAACAAACGUGUAAGUAACUGUGCACGUCUUGACGGUACCUAAUCAGAAAGCCACGGCUAACUACGUG